UUUCAAUUACUAGCUAUUCGAAUAUUAUGGCUUCAAAAUUGUUCUCUUUUCUUCUCCUUCUCGUGUUGAUCUGUACUUUUGGGCGGAAGGUUCAAGGUGAUGUUGGAGUUUGCUGCUAUCCAUGCGAGGUAGAUAAGGAUUGCAAAAGGCUAUGUGCAGAUGAUACGACAUAUCAUUGUUUCCACAAUGUUUGUUCAGUUUGUCCCAGUUUUGGCCGUUCUCAUCCUGGACUUGCCGCUGCUUAUGACAAACAUGCUCAUAAUUAAAUUAAAGACAUGUACUUUAUGAUGUACAAGUCCCAUAAAUGGCAGAAUAAUUAUUACUACUAUGUUUUACCUAAGGAUGCAUUUGCAUCAUUUAAGUUGUCAAGUUAUUGAAUCA